UCGGGAAUUUUGGGCAAUGGGGGAAACCCUGACCCAGCAACGCCGCGUGAAGGAUGAAGUAUUUCGGUAUGUAAACUUCGAAAGAAUAGGAAGAAUAAAUGACGGUACUAUUUAUAAGGUCCGGCUAACUACGUGCCAGCAGCCGCGGUAAUACGUAGGGACCAAGCGUUGUUCGGAUUUACUGGGCGUAAAGGGCGCGUAGGCGGCAUGACAAGUCACUUGUGAAAUCUCUGGGCUUAACCCAGAACGGCCAAGUGAUACUGUCGCGCUAGAGCGCAGAAGGGGCAAUCGGAAUUCUUGGUGUAGCGGUGAAAUGCGUAGAUAUCAGGAGGAACACCGGUGGCGUAGGCGGCUCUCUGGUCCAUAACUGACGCUGAAGUGCGAAAGCUAGGGUAGCGAACGGGAUUAGAUACCCCGGUAGUCCCUGAGCGGGCUGGCAAGGCGCAU
rnacentral:rRNA from 1 species